GUUCCUUCUCCCAAGCAUGGAAGAUGCUAUGAGUUUGUUUCUGUCUAGAAAUCAGUUCAUCAAGGCAGUAGAGAAAUUUGGUUGGAAUGGGUGGUGUGAAAUUCAGUUUUGUGUCACCAAUUGCAGGUAUUCAUUAGGAAUCACUGGAGGUGAACGGAAAUAAAUCAUCCUCUCUCAAGGAGGCAGUGUUACUCCUGGACCCGGCAGGAUGCUCAUGUGGGUAUGUCCAGCAAACCAACCACUAACAAUCCCAAAGAUCUGGUAACAGGGUGUUCCUGCCCUCUUCCCUUGCUGACCCUUCUGCCUGGGCCCCGCCCCUGCUGCGUUUCAUCAAGUCGACACGCUCUAAGAAACCAGGCCAAAUCUGCACUCUGCCCCACGGAUGGCGCAGAUGUGGGUGACCGGCCCCCCUCGGCCUGCAGAAGUUUACCUUCGAGCCUAGAGGACAGCUAUCCAGAGGGAAACAGGCACCGGACGCUCAGUGGGUCACGGGCUUUGAGGCCACAUGAGUUUUGCAGAGCAGACGUAGAAAACAGAGAAUGAAAAAAAAAAAAAAAAAAAAAAAGAGGAGAGAUCUGAAGCCAGAAUGGGCGUCAUGCAAGAGGCUCUAGAGUUGCAGACAGUUGCAGCCCAGAUACGACGUGCAAAGAGAGACGUCCCAGAUCUCCCAAGCAGAACUCCAGCACACUUUGAAGUGUUGACAACACAUAAAAUUAAAAGCAUCACAAUGCGAAUUAUCACGUUGUUUUUUCCACUUUGAUAGCCUCUACAAAGCAUUUUAUACCGAUGAAUCAAUACAAAUGUCUUUUUAUAAAGACAUUGGAAACAAAAAGAUACAUUUUUUUUUCCUUAAGAGAAACCAACACAAUUAACAAAAAGAUUUCAGCUCUGGCAUGCAGGAUAGCUCUAGGUAACAGUGAGGUUGUCUCUCCUUUUAACAGUGGCCUUGGAGGUCACUGCUGUCUACUUGCUUGGAUCACAUCAUUCAGCCUCCGAUGACUGUUCUGCCUGCUGAUUAGUCAGCACCAUGAGAUGAGACAAACAAGCCACAAUUGCAUUGCUACUGCCUCAUGACUGCACACACAUGUGUGUGCACGUGUAUAACAAUAUGUAUAUAGAGUGUGUAAAUAUAUAUAUAGGCGUGUGUGUGUGUGUGUGUGUGUGUGUGUGUGUAUUUUGAGGUUUGGUAAAAUAAAGCUUGCAAAUUAGGAUUAAUUUAUAACUCGUUAUAAUUUGAUUAUUG
rnacentral:lncRNA from 1 species